GGGGAUAUAGCUUAGCAGCAUAAGCGCCUGCCUGGCAAGCACUAAGUUGUGAGUUCAAUCCUCUUUUCCA
rnacentral:tRNA from 1 species